CAGUCGCGCGGUAAUACGGAGGGUGCAAGCGUUAAUCGGAAUUACUGGGCGUAAAGCGCACGCAGGCGGUCUGACAAGUCAGAUGUGAAAUCCCCGGGCUUAACCUGGGAACUGCAUUUGAAACUGUCAGGCUGGAGUCUUGUAGAGGGGGGUAGAAUUCCAGGUGUAGCGGUGAAAUGCGUAGAGAUCUGGAGGAAUACCGGUGGCGAAGGCGGCCCCCUGGACAAAGACUGACGCUCAGGUGCGAAAGCGUGGGGAGCAAACAGGAUUAGAUACCCCAGUAGUCCCUGUCUCUUAUAAA
rnacentral:rRNA from 1 species